CACGUAGUUAGCCGUGGCUUUCUGAUUAGGUACCGUCAAGACGUGCAUAGUUAUUUACACAAUUUGUUCUUCCCUAAUAACAGAGUUUUACGACCCGAAGGCCUUCAUCACUCACGCGGCGUUGCUCCGUCAGGCUUUCGCCCAUUGCGGAAGAUUCCCUACUGCUGCCUCCCGUAGGAGUCUGGACCGUGUCUCAGUUCCAGUGUGGCCGAUCACCCUCUCAGGUCGGCUACGUAUCGUUGCCUUGGUAAGCCGUUACCUUACCAACUAGCUAAUACGGCGCGGGUCCAUCCUAUAAGUGACAGCAAGACCGUCUUUCACUGUAGGACCAUGCGGUCCAACAUGUUAUCCGGCAUUAGCCCCGGUUUCCCGGAGUUAUUCCAGUCUUAUAGGUAGGUUACCCACGUGUUACUCACCCGUCGCCGCUAACGUCGGGGGAGCAAGCUCCCCGUCUGUUCGCUCGACUUGCAUGUAUUAGGCACGCCGCCAGCGUUCAUCUUGAGCCAGGAUCGAAAACUCU
rnacentral:rRNA from 1 species